ACCCAAAUCAGAAGUUAGUUUUCAUGGUAUGAUAACGGAUUACGCGAACGUUGUUAGCAAGAAGUUCACAUCAAAUAUUUAUGGUCUCGUUCCAUCGUCUUCUGAGAAGAGCAUAGACAUUGAAAAAUCUAGUGGUAGUACUGUUUAGAAUCCUUUCGAUACGAGAAAUGCUCGGGAUUUGUGAUUAUUGGUGAUCCUAUUUCACCUGAAGAUGUUCAGCAAGAACGACGUAUGAAGUUACUGUCGUUAAUUAACAAUAUAGCCCGGGAAAAAGGGUUAGAUGGCCAAAAUUAUAAAUGUAAUGGUUGUUCCAGACCAAUUGGAAUGGCCCAUGGAUGCUUUCGUUCAUGAUGAAAGAGCCAUAUUGUACAAGGAGGCUCGCGUUCAUUACGAGAGAGUUAUGAAAAAGUUACAUUGUAAAAGGUCUCAGCUCAGCACAACCCUUGUUUGAAGUUCCUAAAACCUUGAUCUACCCAAGAAAGAUCUCUGGUGGUAACAUGUUAGGUAUGGC